AUGAAACAGAAGCAGGCCAUGAAUCAGGGCCCCCAUUAGAAGGUACCUUUCCCAGGGGGAGCCAAGAAGAGACUAUUUCCUUGUCUAACCGUUCCAAAACAAAGAGCAUGUUGGAUCUUAGUUCCCCCACCAGGGAUCGAACCCAUGGCCCUUGCAGUUGGAACCACGGAGUCUUAACCACUGGACUGCCAGGGAAGUCCCAAAGCACACUGUCACAGAAGUCCUGAGUGCACGGUGUCCCUGGUGGCGCAGUGGUUGAGAGUCCGCCUGCCAAUGCAGGGGACACGGGUUCGAGCCCUGGCCCGGGAAGAUCCCACAUGCCAGGGAGCAACGAAGCCUGUGUGCCACAACUACUGAGCCCACAUGCCAUGACUACUGAGCCUGCGCUCCAGAGCCUGCGAGCCACAACUACUGAAGCCCGUGUGCCGCAACUACUGAGCCCGCGGGCCACAACUACUGAAGUCCGCGCGCCUAGAGCCCGUGCUCCGCAACAACAGAAGCCACCACAAUGAGAAGUCUGCGCACGGCAACAAAGAGCGGGCCCCCCCCACCCCCGCUCGCUGAAACUAGAGAAAGCCCACGCACAGCAACA